AGGGCACCACCAGGAGUGGAGCCUGCGGCUUAAUUUGACUCAACACGGGAAAUCUCACCAGGCCCGGACACCGGAAGGAUUGACAGAUUGAGAGCUCUUUCUUGAUUCGGUGGGUGGUGGUGCAUGGCCGUUCUUAGUUGGUGGAGCGAUUUGUCUGGUUAAUUCCGAUAACGAACGAGACUCUGGCCUACUAACUAGACGAUAUAUCCUUUAUGGGUUUAUCGCAGCUUCUUAGAGGGACGGGCGGCGUUUAGCCGCACGAGAAUGAGCAAUAACAGGUCUGUGAUGCCCUUAGAUGUUCUGGGCUGCACGCGCGCUACACUGAAGAAAUCAGCGUGUGCCCCCUACCCGAAAGGGUUGGGAAACCCGUUGAACCUUCUUCGUGAUGGGGAUUGGAGAUUGCAAUUAUUCUCCAUGAACGAGGAAUUCCCAGUAGGCGCGAGUCAUAAGCUUGCGUCGAUUACGUCCCUGCCCUUUGUACACACCGCCCGUCGCUACUACCGAUCGAGUGAUUUAGUG
rnacentral:rRNA from 1 species